ensembl:lncRNA
UGUGUGUGUGGGUACAGUAUGUGUGUGGGUACAGUAUGUGUGUGUGUGUGUGUGUGGGGGGUACAGGUACAGUGUGUGUGUGGGUACAGUGUGUGUGUGUGUGUGUGUGUGUGUGUGUGUGUGUGUGUGUGUGUGUGUUAUGUGUGCAUGAAAGGAUGUCUCAGUAGGACUGUUCCAGUUAAAGCUCUGCUGUAGAGAGUGAGUUGGGAUCACAUGUCUGGAGAGGCUUUCUUCUUCACUGCUACACAUGCUCAGCGGAUUGUGUUUCAGGGGCUCCAGCAUGCAAUCUUUGC